rnacentral:lncRNA from 1 species
AUCUAUGAAUUAGUCUCCUGUUUUUAACACUGUAUCCUGCUUGUUGAUUUUAAUGAUUGUUUUUAUUGAUGUUGAUGUUUUUUACUGGGAUAAUUGCUUUGUUACUGUUAUUUGUUUGUUUUAUCGGGCCAGGCUCCAUGUAAGCUGCCUCGGGUCUCAUGUCAAAUAAAUAAAUGUCAAUUUUCUAACAGAUAUUAAUUAUAAAUUUGUCCUUGCUAUUUAAAGAAUACAGCCAAGAUGUAUGUAGUAUUCGCCAACUAUUAUCCCUUGCCAUGAAUAAUUUUUCCUUGCCUCCCAGAUAGACCCAGGCACUCUUUAGUCUUCUAAGUAAGAGAUGACAUCUGAAGAUCAUGCGAUAAUACUAUGUAACAAAAUUUGAAAAAAUGUUGUUUCUGGUUUUCCUGUGUAAUUGUGAAGUAAUUAAGUACUUACUUUGAAAGUAGUUGUUAUACUCCAGAAACUUUGUUGUUGUGGCUACCACAAUCUAUCUUGAAUUAAUUGAGACUCUAUGAGAUAUUCAUAGAAAAACUAUAGCAAAAUGUGCUGCAGAAUGUUCUGCAAAAACAAAGCUUUUGCAGUUCAAUAAACUUUUUCCAUGUUUUUUUGAUAGGCCCAUUUAGAAAAUGACAUUUAUAACUCAGGAACAAAAAUCAUGUUAAAUGGUGUAAUUCAUAAUCCACUUGCUUUCUGAUUAAUUCACUUUAGAAAAGUGAAAAAUGUAAUAGUUCUGAGAAUACUCAUUAAUUUCAUUUCUAGUUAAGGAGAAGCCAGUAAAGCUCCUCCUUCCUUCUCCCUGGGAAAGCCAUGGUAGUUAAAGUGGUGUCAAACUGCAUUAAUUCUUUUUUAUAACUAAUUUUUAUUCAAAGAAACAAACCUAUAAUCAAACAAAGACAUAUACAGAAAGACAGAUUACACCAAAAUCUUUUCAUUUUACAAAAAUAAAAAAUCUUACUAUAAAACACUAACCUAAAACAACUAACAAACUCUGUCUAAAACAAUUAUCCUAACCACUACAACCCACACCACCCUCCUAAACACAUCCUAUACAUAAAAUAAUAAAAACUAAUUUAUGAAUCUUGCACUCUCUGGCUGUUGGGUUUAAUUUCUCAAUUUACUAUUCCUUUGAAAUGUCCCUCUGUAACUACCCUUAUAC